AGAGUUAAACAGUGCGUGAAAUUGUUGAAAGGGAACCGCUUGGAACCAGUGGUGUGUGCCGUCAAUUCAGCCUCUCUUCCGAGGGGUGCACUUUGGCGGUAUACUGGUCAGCAUCAUUUUCGAUCGCCGGAAAUGGCCGUGAGGGAGGUGAAGACUCUCGGGUCUUGUUAUAGCCUCGCGGAGGUACGGUGAUCGGGAAUGAGGCCUUUCACGAAGCGUGCUGCCUGGCUGGGCUACCUCGUCUCUGGGCGUGCGCGCGCUGUAAACUGCUUGCCAGAUUGCGGUGCGCCGUGCGUUCACGGGCGGGGCUAGUCACAACGUACGCUCCAGAUGCUGACGAAAUGGUUUCAAUCGACC
rnacentral:rRNA from 1 species